GCUCGCCUAGCUCAGUCGGUAGAGUACUUCCUUGGUAAGGAAGAGGUCGGCGGUUCAAGUCCGCUGGUGAGCU
rnacentral:tRNA from 1 species